rnacentral:rRNA from 1 species
AUGGAAGCGAUCUUGCGCUCCGUCCCAGAGGAGAUGGUGCUCAACCUUGGUGCCAAGGAGACGGCCAAGGAAGCAUGGGAGACCAUCAAGACUCUGCGCAUCGGCGUGGAGCGCGUACGGGAGUCGAAGGCCCAGACCUUGCGCCUCCAGUACGAGGAGAUCCGGUUCAAGGCCGGUGAACAAGUCGACGACUUCGCCUUGCGGCUGCAAGGUCUCGUCAACGAGCUCGCAACGCUUGGAGAUCCCAUCGACAACAAGAUGGUGAUUCUCAAGUUUCUCCGCGUCGUCCCCAGGCAGUACAAGCAACUGGCCUGGUCCAUCGAGAGCUUGGUGGAUCUCUCCACCAUGACGAUCGAGGAGCUGGUAGGGCGGCUGAAGGUCGUCGAGGAGCGCGGCGACGACGCCAACAGCCAUGCUGGCGGCGAACUACUGCUCACCAGGGAGCAGUGGGACGCGCAGCUUCAGCAGCACGGCCGCAACGGCUCUUCCGGCAGUGGGGGAGGCGCCCCCACGGGAAGCAGAGAUCGCGACAGAGGCGGAGGCCGCGCCCAGAGCGGUGGUGGCAACCGCGGUCGCAGGCCAAGCCAGGCAGGGCGAGGCGCUGGCAACGGUGGCAAGUGCCGCUACUGCAACAUGCCGGGUCACUGGAUCCGGGAUUGCCACAGGAGGAAAGCCGACGAGGCAGCCGUGGCAACGGCAAACCUCGUCCAGGCUGACGUGGAUGGUGGGCCGGCAAUGAUGCUGGCAAGAGUCGAGCCCGUGCAGGAGAGCUCAGCGUCUCCCACGACCACGGCCCCGACAUCCACCCAUUCCGUGCAGGAGGCACGGAGCCCGUCCACGGGAACCAUCACUCCAGUGACAGGCCACACCUCGACAAUGAUGUUCUCGGGGCCUGUCGACUGGGAGGCGAUGAAGGCUCGGGUGUGGGGGAGCCACACCCUAGCGACGGCGUCCCCGACAACCUCGGGACCCGACAAGAUCGUGCAAGUUGGCGCGGCAACGACGCAUAUGGCGGACCAUGCUCCGACCAUGAUGCUGGCGACCAUCGACUCCGUGCAGGAGCGCACGGAGACUCAGGUCAGCCACACCCCGACAACAAAGUGUUCGGGGUCCACCGUGUUGUCGGGAGAUGGCUCCCUGACAACAGCAUGUGCGUGCGGCUACGUCUUCCUCAACGAGGAGAGAGCCGUGACCACAUCCACGCUUGCAGGCGGCAAGCAAAGUGAGGGUUGGUUCCUCGACACCGGCGCCACGAACCACAUGAAUGGUUCGAUCGACGCGUUCGCGGAGCUGGACCGCUCAAUCACCGGGAAGGUGCGGUUCGCGGACGGAUCCGUGGUGGAGAUCCACGGGCGCGGGACCGUCGUCUUCGCCGACAAAGGGGGUGAUCACAGGGCGUUCACGGACGUCUACUUCAUCCCGGCGCUCACGAGCAGCGUCGUGAGUGUCGGACAACUCGACGAGGGCUGGUUCGACAUCGGCAUCCGGCGCGGUGUUCUCACCGUGCACGACCAGCAGAAGAGGCUGCUCAUCGAGGUUACCCGCUCGCCGAACCGCCUCUACAAAUUCUUCUUUCAACCCGUGCAUCCUGUGUGCCUUUCCGUGGGCCAUGUCUCUGACGCGUGGCGUUGGCAUGCCCGGCUAGGACACCAGCACUUCGACGGGUUGCAAAAGAUGGCGCGAGGCAACCUUGUUCGUGGGCUACCUCACAUCAAGCACGCCGACGAGCUGUGUGAUGCAUGUCUUGCGGGGAAGCAGCGGCGUCUGCCGUUUCCCGAGAAGGCACGCUAUCGGGCGCAGAAACCCCUGGAGCUGGUUCACGGGGACCUCUGCGGCCCAAUCACCCCGGCAACGCCAGGAGGGCGUCGCUACAUCCUGCUGCUCGUCGACGACUAUAGCAGGUCCAUGUGGGUGCUGCUCCUCGCCUCCAAGGACGAGGCGGAGCAAGCCAUUGUCAAGAAGCAAGCGGCAGCAGAGGUCGAGUGCGGCCACAAGCUGCACGUGCUGCGCACGGACCGUGGCGGCGAGUUCACGUCGGCCACAUUCUACAAGCACUGCGACGAGAAAGGGGUGCAACGUCACCUCACAGCCCCUUACUCGACGCAGCAGAACGGCGUCGUCGAGCGAAGGAACCAGACGGUGCUCGGGAUGGCACGCUGCAUGCUCAAGGCAAAGCAGGUGCCGAGCACGUAUUGGGGGGAGGCCGUGCUCACGGCCGUCUUCAUCCUCAACCGCUCCUUCACAAGGAGCGUCGACGGAAAGACGCCUUACGAGGCGUGGUAUGGGAGGAAGCCAGAUGUACGCUUCCUCCGUACCUUUGGCUGCGUCGGGCACGUCAAGAUGACGCGCCCACAGCUGAAGAAGCUCGACGACAGGAGCACCCCAAUGGUGUUCAUGGGCUACGGGACGGGCUCUAAGGCGUACAAGAUGUAUGACCCCGUCUCAAAGCGUGUGCAUGUCUCUCGUGACGUCAUCUUCGACGAAGACGCGCGAUAG